rnacentral:misc_RNA from 1 species
UUUGAAUAUGAGACCUUGUAGCAUUGGAAAUGACUCCAAAGCUCAUCGGUAUAGUCAAAACUUAAGCUUUCUGUUCAUGAGGAUUUCUGAUUUUGUUUCACGGGUCUGCAUUUUUAGAAUUGUGAUGGUCAUGAAACAUUCAGAUCAUUAUCAUUCAGGAAUAGAACUGAACAUUGGAAGCUGAGGAGGAGGGAAGGAAUUGGAUAUUAUGAUCAGAUGCAUAUUUACUGGCCCCAUUAGAGGGAGG